rnacentral:misc_RNA from 1 species
AACGCACAUUGCGCCCCGUGGUAUUCCGCGGGGCAUGCCUGUUCGAGCGUCAGUACAACACUCAAGCUCUGCUUGGUAUUGGGCCCUGCCGGCAACGGCUGGCCUUAAAAUCAGUGGCGGCGCCAUCUGGCUCUAAGCGUAGUAAUAAUCCUCGCUAUAGGGUCCCGGUGGAUGCUUGCCAGCAACCCCCAACUUUCUAAGUUUGACCUCGGAUCAGGUAGGGAUACCCGCUGAACUUAA